AUACUUAGUCAGCACAUCAUCCAGAUAAAAAGCUUUGGGGAUGCUUUCACUAAGGAGCUUGAGAGAAGGGAUGCAGUCAUUUGGUGUUGGGUCUUUUCAGCAAGCUUUUCCUAAUGGGACGUUUUCAGGGACUUGUCAGCCUUAAGAUGACUGAAAUCUUCCUGGCCUGGGUACCAGCUUCAUCUGGCUGCCACUGAGACUGCCAAGCUGAUCGCUUUAAAUUCUACUUUUCUUUUCCUCUUUUUUUCCUUUCUUUCUUUCUUUUUUUUUUGGUUAUGCGUGGGAGGAAUAGGGGCUCAGAGCAAGACAGAGAAAAAGAAAAGAAUAAGAUGAGGAUGGAGAGGCAGAGACAGAGGAGAAGAGGGACAGAAAGAGCAAGUGGUUAGACGAGAGGGCCUGAUGAGCAAUGAGCGCCUCACUCGUCCUCAAUUAAUCUUGUCUUUCUACCUUUGCUUUGGCGCUUCCCUUGGCACCAAGUAUAUCAUCUGGAAAACACACAGCCCCCUUUCUGCUGGACGCUGUUUGAGGAUUAUCGCGGGUGACACCUUCGGGAUGCAGCCAGAAUCUGGAGCAUCAUUUUUUCAGCCAUAAAGUGGAAUUACCCUGACUUAUCUGUCAUUGCCAAAAGCACAACAAGCCAUUCAGGGCCAAAGCAAAGGUGGAACAGGUUCUUAUCGGCUUCUCUGAACGAAAGGGCUUGUAAAUUUAUGCUAAUGAGGGCCUUUGUCAUCCAGGCUCACCCCUUGGGGCUGAACGCGGUUUGCAAGGGAUGAUAAUCUGGCUGUUGAGUGCACUAGAUAAUUUGUACUUUAUCCUCAUGUAAUUAUAUAGUUUAAAUCUUUUUACCAAUGCUAAUCCUUCAACAUGAGGAAGUGUCUUAACCGUGUCCAUGGUUCUUAGCAGCACUAGUUAGCGUGCAUCUGACUCCCUCAUAAAAUCACGUAGGAGGAGUGCAGCGCUGAUAUAAUUACUCUGACUUUCUGUAGCCUGUGCUGUGAAUCCUCCUAUCAUUUUGAUCCACCUUAGCAGCCAGGCAGUAAGCCAAGCUAGCAGCCUGGGGGUAUGGAAGACAACACAGGAAAAGGUGAAAACAUUGUAGCCUGACUGAAGAGCUCUUUCCAUUUUUUGUCAAGAGUAGAAAAAAAAAUGACAGGGUGAAGAGGAAAAUGAGGUAAAAUUAGUAAAAGUAAGAGCAGUAGGGCAGCUUCGCAGAGCUUUUGAGGUCCCUCUGCUGUCCAGUGGGACUCCACGCCAUCUCUCGUGCCUGCCAAAGCCGACAGCCCCUGACAAGCUGCUUGGCGUGCUGUAAUUUGACUAAUUACACUGGAUUAGACCAUAUUAAUGCAAGCUGUUUUCUCCAGGGUCAUUGACCCACCCAGUGUGUCCCUUGCUGGCUUUCCUCAAUUCUGCGUAAACAAAAGAAUCUCAAGAAAAUAAAGCAGAUUUUUUUAAAUAAG